rnacentral:rRNA from 1 species
GACGAACGCUGGCGGCGUGCUUAACACAUGCAAGUCGAACGCUGAAGCUCAGCUUUUGUUGGGUGGAUGAGUGGCGAACGGGUGAGUAACACGUGAGUAACCUGCCUCCUUCUUUGGGAUAACGCCCGGAAACGGGUGCUAAUACUGGAUAUUCACUGGUCUUCGCAUGGGGGUUGGUGGAGAGGGUUUUUCUGGUGGGGGAUGGGCUCGCGGCCUAUCAGCUUGUUGGUGGGGUGAUGGCCUACCAAGGCUUUGACGGGUAGCCGGCCUGAGAGGGUGACCGGUCACAUUGGGACUGAGAUACGGCCCAGACUCCUACGGGAGGCAGCAGUGGGGAAUAUUGCACAAUGGGCGCAAGCCUGAUGCAGCGACGCCGCGUGAGGGAUGGAGGCCUUCGGGUUGUGAACCUCUUUCGCUCAUGGUCAAGCCGCAACAAUGGUUGUGGUGAGGGUAGUGGGUAAAGAAGCGCCGGCUAACUACGUG